UACGUAGGGUGCAAGCGUUGUCCGGAAUUAUUUGAGCGUAAAGAGCUCGUAGGCGGUCUGUUGCGUCGCUGUGAAAACCCGGGGGCUCAACCCCGGGCCUGCAGCCGAUACGGGCAGACUAGAGUUCGGCAGGGGGAGACUGGAAUUCCUGGUGUAGCGGUGAAAUGCGCAGAUAUCGGGAAGAACACCCGUGGCGAAGGCGGCUCUCUGGGGACGGUACUGGACGCUGAGACGCGAAAAGCGGUGGGGGAGCGAACAGGG
rnacentral:rRNA from 1 species